GUAGGGUGCGAGCGUUGCCCGGAUUUAUUGGGCGUAAAGGGCGCGUAGGCGGCCACGCACGUCCGUUGUGAAAUCGCCCGGCUCAACUGGGCGGGGUCGGCGGAUACGGCGUGGCUGGAGCAAGCUAGGGGGCAAUGGAAUUCCCGGUGUAGUGGUGGAAUGCGUAGAUAUCGGGAGGAACACCGGUGGCGAAGGCGGUUCUCUGGGCCUGUACUGACGCUGAGGAGCGAAAGCGUGGGGAGCAAACAGGAUUAGAUACCCUGGUAGUCCACGCCGUAAACGUUGGGCGCUAGGUGUGGGUCCCUUCCACGGGGUCUGUGCCGCAGCUAACGCAUUAAGCGCCCCGCCUGGGGAGUACGGCCGCAAGGCUA
rnacentral:rRNA from 1 species